AGGACGAACGCUGGCGGCGUGCCUAAUACAUGCAAGUCGAAGGUCCUUUUCUAUGGAAGCUUGCUUCCACUGAGAAGAUAGUGGCGAACGGGUGAGUAACACGUGGGUAACCUGCCCAUAAGAGGGGGAUAACAUCCGGAAACGGGUGCUAAUACCGCAUAGUUUUCUUGAUCGUAUGAUCGGGAAAGGAAAGACGGCCUUUGUGCUGUCGCUUAUGGAUGGACCCGCGGCGUAUUAGUUAGUUGGUGAGGUAACGGCUCACCAAGACGAUGAUACGUAGCCGACCUGAGAGGGUGAUCGGCCACAUUGGGACUGAGGCACGGCCCAAACUCCUACGGGAGGCAGCAGUAGGGAAUCUUCCGCAAUGGACGAAAGUCUGACGGAGCAACGCCGCGUGAGUGAAGAAAGGUUUUCGGAUCGUAAAACUCUGUUGUCAGAGAAGAACAAGUUGGAGAGUAACUGCUCCAGCCUUGACGGUAUCUGACCAGAAAGCCACGGCUAACUACGUGCCAGCAGCCGC
rnacentral:rRNA from 1 species